AAGUUCUCAAGGGCAUACAGAUAACUGCAGGAAAUAGCCUUAGUUAAGCAAAACUGUUCACUUCAUUGCUCGUUCCACAACUCUGAGAAGUCUCUGUAUGCUAUGUAGUGAGAGAUAAGUUCAGAGUUAUAUUUGAUUUAGUAAAGCUUUAGUAGCUACUUUAACCAUAAUAAUCAAUAUCAAGGAACGUAAGGCAGCAAAAGCCUUUUAUACGCUUGAUAAGUGGAGGAAUUGUCAGCAUAACUAUUUAGCCUGUGACAAAAAUAAGAAUCAUAGAAUCACAAGGUUGUAAAGGACCUAUAAGAUCAUCUAGUCCAACCAUCCUCCCAUUACCCUUGCUACCACAAGCACUAAACCACAUCUCGCAGCUCCUCAUCCAGGCGCCUCUUGAACACUGCCAGGGACGGCGACUCCACCACCUCCCUGGGCAGCCAUUGCAGUGCCUGACCACUCUCUGAGAGAAAAAUUCUUCCUUAUGUCCAACCUAAACCUCCUCUGGUACAACUUGUGACCAUUUCCUCGGGUCCUGUUUGUUGCCUGGGAGAAGAGGCCAAACCCCUCCUCACUACAACCUCCCUUCAGGAAGUUGUAGAGUGCAAUGAGGUCUCCCCUGAGCCUCCUCUUCUCCACACUGAACAAUCCCAGCUCCCUCAGCCGCUCCUCAUAAGACUUGUGCUCCAGACCCCUCACCAGUUU